GAUGAAGAACGUAGCGAAAUGCGAUACGUAAUGUGAAUUGCAGAAUUCAGUGAAUCAUCGAAUCUUUGAACGCAUAUUGAGCUCUCUGGUAUUCCGGAGAGCAUGCUUGUUUGAGUAUCAGUAAACACCUCAACUUCCAUAUCUUUUUUGAAAUGGGAGUUGGACUUGAGUGAUCCCAACGCUUUUCCUCACCGAAAAGUGGCGGGUUACUUGAAAUGCAGGUGCAGCUGGACUUUUCUCUGAGCUAUAAGCAUAUCUAUUUAGUCUGCCUAAAAAACAGAUUAUUACCUUUGCUGCAGCUAACAUAAAGGAGAUUAGUUCUUGUGCUGACUGAUGCAGGAUUCACAAAGACAGGCUUCGGCCGACUUUGUAAACUCGAUCUCAAAUCAAGUAAGACUACCCGCUGAACUUAAGCAUAUCAAUAAGCGGAGGA
rnacentral:misc_RNA from 1 species